CCUUAAGGGGCGGUAUAUAUGAAUGCGGUCUAUACAUGCAAGUCGAGCGGACAGAUGGGAGCUUGCUCCCUGAUGUUAGCGGCGGACGGGUGAGUAACACGUGGGUAACCUGCCUGUAAGACUGGGAUAACUCCGGGAAACCGGGGCUAAUACCGGAUGCUUGUUUGAACCGCAUGGUUCAAGCAUAAAAGGUGGCUUCGGCUACCACUUACAGAUGGACCCGCGGCGCAUUAGCUAGUUGGUGAGGUAAUGGCUCACCAAGGCAACGAUGCGUAGCCGACCUGAGAGGGUGAUCGGCCACACUGGGACUGAGACACGGCCCAGACUCCUACGGGAGGCAGCAGUAGGGAAUCUUCCGCAAUGGACGAAAGUCUGACGGAGCAACGCCGCGUGAGUGAUGAAGGUUUUCGGAUCGUAAAGCUCUGUUGUUAGGGAAGAACAAGUACCGUUCGAAUAGGGCGGUACCUUGACGGUACCUAACCAGAAAGCCACGGCUAACUACGUGCCAGCAGCCGCGGUAAUACGUAGGUGGCAAGCGUUGUCCGGAAUUAUUGGGCGUAAAGGGCUCGCAGGCGGUUUCUUAAGUCUGAUGUGAAAGCCCCCGGCUCAACCGGGGAGGGUCAUUGGAAACUGGGGAACUUGAGUGCAGAAGAGGAGAGUGAAAUUCCACGUGUAGCGGUGAAAUGCGUAGAGAUGUGGAGGAACACCAGUGGCGAACGCGACUCUCUGGUCUGUAACUGACGCUGAGGAGCGAAAGCGUGGGGAGCGAACAGGAUUAGAUACCCUGGUAGUCCACGCCGUAACGAUGAGUGCUAAGUGUUAAGGGGGUUUCCGCCCCCUUAGUGCUGCAGCUAACGCAUAAGGCACUCCGCCUGGGGGAGUACGGGUCGCAGACUGAUACUCAUAGGACUGACCGGGGCCCGCCACAGCGUUGGAGCCAUGUGAUUAUGGUAGGCAUCGGCGAGAACUACAGGUCUGGACGUCUCUGACAUUCUAAGAUACGUACGUCCCGUCGGGGCCGAUGACGUGGUGCAUGGAUGUUCUCACUCUGUCAUGCAGGUCGUUAGUCGACUGAGGCAACCUUGAAGCUAGAUGCA
rnacentral:rRNA from 1 species